UACGGGGGGAGCAAGCGUUGUUCGGAUUUACUGGGCGUAAAGGGCGCGUAGGCGGCACUGCAAGUCAGUUGUGAAAUCUCCGGGCUUAACCCGGAAAGGUCAACUGAUACUGCAGGGCUAGAGUGCAGAAGGGGCAACUGGAAUUCUCGGUGUAGCGGUGAAAUGCGUAGAUAUCGAGAGGAACACCUGCGGCGAAGGCGGGUUGCUGGGCUGACACUGACGCUGAGGCGCAAAAGCCAGGGGAGCGAACGGG
rnacentral:rRNA from 1 species